GAUGAACGCUGGCGGCGUGCCUAAUACAUGCAAGUCGAGCGAACGGACGAGAAGCUUGCUUCUCUGAUGUUAGCGGCGGACGGGUGAGUAACACGUGGAUAACCUACCUAUAAGACUGGGAUAACUUCGGGAAACCGGAGCUAAUACCGGAUAAUAUUUUGAACCGCAUGGUUCAAUAGUGAAAGACGGUCUUGCUGUCACUAAUAGAUGGAUCCGCGCUGCAUUAGCUAGUUGGUAAGGUAACGGCUUACCAAGGCAACGAUGCGUAGCCGACCUGAGAGAGUGAUCGGCCACACGGGAACUUAGACACGGUCCAGACUCCUACGAGAGGCAGCAGUAGGGAAUCGUCCGCAAUGGGCGAAAGCCUGACGGAGCAACGCCGCGUGAGUGAUGAAGGUCUUCGGAUCGUAAAACUCUGUUAUUAGGGAAGAACAGAUGUGUAAGUAACUGUGCACAUCUUGACGGUACCUAAUCAGAAAGCCACGGCUAACUACGUG
rnacentral:rRNA from 1 species